rnacentral:misc_RNA from 1 species
GUGAAUCAUCGAAUCUUUGAACGCAAAUUGCACUCUCCUCGGAGAGUAUGUCUGUUUGAUGGUCAUCCUAUAAAAAAUCAUCAUCGUUGCUGUUUGGCGGCGGCUUUAGUCGGAAAUUGGGGCAUCUUAAAUCCUUUUUAUUUAAUCGACUUAAAAUUUUCUUUUGUUUCCAUGAACGUCUCUAAGAUCUAUUUCUUUACACGUUUAAGGUAUCGAUUUUUACUAUACUUUACCUUCAUAUCUGAUCGCGUCCAUAUUCUUUC